rnacentral:lncRNA from 1 species
AAAUUAGCAUUUGCAUUUCAUUUCGUUCUUGCUUAAAGAGGUGACGGGAGAGAUUAGAGUUUGCAUUUGGAAAAUUGCAAUGGAUGUGCUUGGAAGCUUCGAUAUGGUUGAAGGGACAACUAGCUCAACAACGUCUAGGAGAUCAUAUGUUAUGCCAUGAUCAAGUUAAAGCUGGGUUUUAUAUUUUAUGGAGUGAAAGAAAGUCAAAAAGGAGAUUUCUGCAAUGCCGAUUUUGGAAGGUACGAUGUUUUUUUUUAUUAGCUAACGUUAGGAGAGCCGGUACUUGUUGAUGUAGUAGAAAUGUUGUUUUGCAUUUCCAAUGAGUUGAUCAUGAUAACAUGAUCAUGGGAAGGAGGUGGCUGCUAUAUUCAGUAACCAAGGGACGGGCUUAGAGUGAAGCAUCGGAGGUAGUUUGUGCCGCC